AUAAGUGAAUAGUGAAAUCUGGCGGCUCAACCGUACAGGCUUAUUAUUCAAACUGUAUAACUCGAGAAUGGUAGAGGUAACUGGAAUUUCUUGUGUAGGAGUGAAAUCCGUAGAUAUAAGAAGGAACACCAAUGGCGUAGGCAGGCUACUGGACCAUUUCUGACGCUAAGGCACGAAAGCGUGGGGAGCGAGCCGGAUUAGAUACCCGGGUAGUCCACGCCGUAAACGAUGGAUGCUA
rnacentral:rRNA from 1 species